rnacentral:tRNA from 1 species
GGCGCAGUGGCAGAGAGGUCUAAUGCGUUUGACUCGAACUUAUUUCGAAACAAGAAAUGAAGCACCCAUCAAAUCUCUUCGGAGGCGCACGUUCGAAUCGUGCCUGCGUCG